UUACUGUUUUAUAAAGGACAUUUUUAAGUAAACUUUCAUCUUUUUUUCCCCUGCAAGUAUGUGGUGGUAAAGAACACAAUGACUACUAGUACGGUUAGUGCCAUUACCUAAAUUCAUUUUAAGAUAAUAGCACCAGCAUUGCUUUUCCCACAAAUGUAUAUGUCAGCACAGUGAAAAAGGAAAAACAUGUCUUAGGAUUAUUAUUAAAAUAGUUUUGACCUUGGGACUCCCAAGAUUCCAUGGACCACUUUUUGAAAACCACUGCUCUAUUAUGAACUGGAACAUGCAUGAGAAUUAAAAAUUAUUAUUUGUUAAAUUAAAUAAUUGAUUAAAAAUUGUUACCCUUAAAUAGUUGGGAGGGCAUUAAAAUACUGAUUACCUCUUAGCUUUCACACCUCCUAUUUUUAGGUGUUUUUCAGUCUCACAAUCAUGUCCCAAAAAUCUAUGGUAGGGACUCCCUCGUUUCCAGAAAGGAAAAAAAAAACAACAAACAACCUUUUUUGGCAUGAAAAAUAUUUUGAGUAAAUUUUAAAAAUAAGCAUGUGGUUAAAAAUGAAAGUUAAAGUUUUAAGUAGAACUGUCCCUGCCAUCCCGAGUGAAGUUUAACUCCCCUUAAAACCCAAUUUAUGCAUGUAUUCAGUAAGAUCAGAGGAGCGCCACGGGCUGAACCCGGCGUCCUUUGAACCUCCCCAAAGAAAGCAAGCCACCCCCACCCUCCAACUUCAAAGUGGAGAUUCGGCGACUAAGUUUGCCACGCACUCUCCGGAGCCAGCCUGGGUUUGUUUUGCUUAUUUCCCGGGGGGCAGAAAAUGAGAAAUAGCGCACUUUGAACAGCUAGGAAAAGUGAGAAAGAGAGAAGGGCUGAGGAUCGAAUCCAGGACUCGCGGAACGAAAGGACUGCCCAGCCCGCCGGGACGCCUGCUCUUCUCUGCGAUCCUCCGCCUCCCGCUUGGGGUUUUUUGGACAUCUCUGCUGCGCAGCUAGGGGAGCAACUCCCGGCGGCUGCAUUCUUGGCCCAGUUGGCAGCUCGCCUCCGGGUGCGCCGAGCGCCUCUCCGCUCGCGCCCUCUGCGCUUCCGGCUCCUCUGAGCCCCGCCAGGGGCACCAGCCCUCGCCCUCGCUGCAAGGCUACG
rnacentral:lncRNA from 1 species